UACGGAGGAUGCAAGCGUUAUCCGGAAUGAUUGGGCGUAAAGCGUCCGCAGGUGGCAAUGUAAGUCUGCUGUUAAAGAGUCUAGCUCAACUAGAUAAGAGCAGUGGAAACUACAUAGCUAGAGUACGUUCGGGGCAGAGGGAAUUCGUGGUGUAGCGGUGAAAUGCGUAGAGAUCAGGAAGAACACCGGUGGCGAAGGCGCUCUGCUAGGCCGUAACUGACACUGAGGGACGAAAGCUAGGGGAGCGAAUGGG
rnacentral:rRNA from 1 species